ensembl:lncRNA
UGAGUUCCCAAUGUAUCACAUGCAUGGCAAGCGAGGACAGCUACAUGGUGGGGGUUUUCCGAAUGACAUGGUAUGUUCUUGCCCUUAAACUGUCCAACUGUAAAGGUCAUAUAAUGUUUUGCCAUUCUUCUUUCCCCCAAGUGAAUUAAUAAAGGUUCAUUGAUUAAUCAAGAACUGAUAGCAGUUGCUGUAUGUUUGGGCCCCGUGCCCAUUAAUUAAAGCAAACUUUUUUGGUUAUUUGUCAUCAACUUGCAUGUCAAGUUAAAUGUGCAUAAAUGUGCAAUGCUUUAACCACCUUUGACAUUUGCUUUUUUGUGCAAUUAUUUAAUCAUAGAAUUUGAAUGAGAUUCAAGGUAAUAUGAUAUCUGACUUAAUUGCAUGAACACUAUAAUAACAAUGUAUUUUUUAGGCACAAGUCCUCCUCUACUGUAAUGGUGAGGGUGAACACUGAGCAGCAUCCACUUAUGACAGUGGAUCUCACAGAUCAGGUUUCUAGCCCAGGGAUUUCCCCAUACACCCUGCUUGGAUGGGGGUACUCUGUGUGCAGCUCCCCCAGACGUUUUCUCUACAAUCACUGUGACUCAGCUGUCUCUACACCACCCUAGUAGGCUACUACUACUGCUGUACCUCCAGCCAAGUGGCCAGAGCAGGCUCUAAAGUGAGAACGUUACACAAUGCUGGCAUCAUAUUACAGCUACCCUGCUGGAGAAGAUGGCGUCCAAUCUGCUCGUCUUGAAUGGAGGCUUGGUGGUCCAGCUACACGCCAUCCUGCAGUGUCACGAGGACACAGAGCCAGGGUCUUCCACGGUUUCGAGAAGGUGCCUUCCUAUCCCCUGCACCCGGCCGUCUCGCUCAGGGAGCCGGAGAGCAGGAUGACCUUCAGAUGAUGAGGUCAAGGGGCUAUGCCAUGGUGAUGCUUCAGCUCAGAAAAUGGAGAGUAGUCCUGGAAGUGGAAUUAUUAGAAAGAACAUUCCCAUUCAAGUCUUAUGUUCUGUGAUGGAUCUGUCAUUUAAGAGGGUUUCAGAGGAGAGUUUCUAUGUCAUCCCCUGUAGGUCACAGAAGGAGAGGUGAUGGAUUACUGUUUGAAUUUGCAUAAAGAAAUACAACCUAAAUAAAUUAGAUUGAUACGCUUCAUGUAUUUAUUUACAUUUUUACUUAAGACUGUAAAGUAUAAUGGCUAAGGAUAGCUAUAAAGUACAUACAAUGAAAUUAAAGUACUUUUUUCUGCAGUGGGCUAAAUCAGGGCCACAGUGUUUCUUGGUAGUCUUAAACUAAUCUACUUUGAAACAGAAGUAUAUACAUCACACACAUGGUUAUGGGCUUUAAAAAAAGAAGGCACCUGUACCAUGUCACAUAUAGAGUUGAAAUUUAUUCCAUUUUGCAUCCCAAGUUUACACUUUAUAUACAUCAUAAAAGACUGAAAUAUAACCAAACCGUCUUUAAAUAGAACACCGGAUAUAAUGUUUAAAAUUAUGAAAUUAUAAGAAAUAUUUACAUUCUACCAAUGAGGGUGCUUUUGGUUGUUUGACUGCAGGAAAGGGUUUUAAAAUGAAAUGUCAAAUGCAUUGCCAGAUGCAUAUGACUAGGUGAAAUACAUUGAAAAAGUAAAACAAAAGAAACAAUGUCUCAAAAUAUUGGAGUCUUUAUUCUUAUGGAAUAUAUAAAUGAUUGGACUGCAGAUAUCCAAGGUGGCCAUCUGCAUUGUCACGGGUGUACUGCAGAUAUCAUAAUCUCUUCCUCUGUUCACAGCUAUGAGUUCAUUCAUCAUGCAAAGGCUCUUUUCUGACCUCUAGUGGAGUCUAAUAGAUCCUCAGGGUCCAUUGUGUGAGGUUCACCAUCUCAACUUGCCUGACGACACAAGGUAACUGAAAUCUUCAGCCGUUCUGUUUGCUACGUACUUCAGUCAGACGGACACAGUUGAAGUCAAAAUUAGGUCAUCAGCAAUUGGAUCAUCUCUAACCAAUCAGAGUAUCAAAGCCAAUGAAGAAUUUUCAUAGCGCCAUUGAGGACUUCCACCAUUUUAAUGUAAUCAACUGGAUGGGACUUCCAACAUUUAUUGGCUGAUCCCUCCUGGUGGCCAUGUUGGAGUCAUGUCCAACCGGGUCAUCAGGAGGGAUCAGCCAACCUGAAGAAGAAAAUUAACUACUUCAAAAUGAAGAUAGCCUAAAUGGUGCUGCACAUGCUGUCACAGACGCUAUGUCACAGAUAAAAAGAUGAGUCCUCUAUCAAUGCGCUUUACCCACGUGUGUAUUGGCUCUGGCCCAACCCAUCAGUUUCUGGGACCAAUCAGAGUGGUUAGAAUGUGUUUUCAUUCUAGAAAUUGUCAGGAAGGUACUCCGAUCCAGACUCAGAAGACACUAACAUCUGUGGGCGUGGCAUAGCGUUUGGCCGGAUCAAGGAGUUUGGUUAGCCAGGCAACAUCUCAACUACUGCCUGAAACCAAAAUAAAGUCUUAAAGAAAGCUCAAAGAAAGUAUGAAUGGGUCAAUGUACACUGUAAAACACAGAUUAGAUUUUUACUUCUGAAAAUAUCUGCCUUACGUUUAUGGUAAUAGAACUGCGUGAUCAUAAUGUUUGUUUUAUUUUAAAACACCAAGGCAAAGACUAUGCUAAGACAGGCAGCCCAAUUCUGAUCUUUUCACAUCAGAUCUUUUUCAGAGCUGAUCUGAUCUGAUUGGUAAAAAAAAACAAUUAGUGAAGAAAAAAAAACAUCAGAAUUUGGGCUGCCUAUCUAAACGCAGCCAAAGUGACACAAAGUCUUAGUUGAGAUGUGUUACCUGAACACAGUGCUGUAGAUGACUGGGUCAUCCUGGGCCUGUUUCCCCCUAGGAGUGGGUCUACAAACAGAAACACAGUCAUUAUCAUGGUUGUGGAAUUCUAUUGUUGUUACCAUUAUCUUUUACAUUAUAAUUGUUAUUAUUCAAAUCAUUGUUGAUAAAGACUGGUUUAUACUAAGUCUAAAAACAUGGCUGUAGACCGUUAGAAUAUGAAGAAGUGUCGUUGGCAAAAACUACAUUCCCUUUAUACGCAGGACUGUCAUUUCGACGGUCAUUGUUGCAGAGAGGAUAUAACGGGUUGGUACCUGGAUACUACACUGUAGAGGUCCUCCUUGGCUUGUUGUUCCCUGAACAUGUGGAAACAGAAACAAACAUUGUUAUUGGUUAUCACAAAAAAAAUCCAAAUAAAAUGUUCAUAUUAAGUGUAUUUCUUUAAAGUAGCUUUCUUACCAUAUAGAGCUGUAGAUGGCCGUAGUUUCCUCCUUCUGCUGUUCUCUAACAGAGGACGUGAACACAAACACAGUGCAGUUGGUUAAGGUAACAUCACCCAUUGAUUUGUGUAUUGUUUAAUCAAUUAUCACUUUACUUACAUGUUUGCCCUUUGCUUGGUGUUGAUGUGCACUGUUGUAUAGCUGACAUCUUCCUGUUGCGAUGGUUCCUCCUCUCUCCACUCUUCUGUCAGACUACAGUCUGAUGUGAGACUGGUUACAUGCGCUUCUGUGGUCUAGACAGAGAAAAUACUGGCAGUGAACAGCAGAACUUUCUGCACAAUAGUUAAAAAAUAUUUGGGCAAAACAAAGUUCAGCUAUGAUAUUUC